UACGGAAGGUCCGGGCGUUAUCCGGAUUUAUUGGGUUUAAAGGGAGCGUAGGCCGGCUUUUAAGUCAGCUGUGAAAGUCCGCGGCUCAACCGCGGAACUGCUUUGGAAACUGUUAAGCUGGAGUACUGGAGAGGCAAGCGGAAUUCCUAGUGUAGCGGUGAAAUGCGUAGAUAUUAGGAGGAACACCAGUGGCGAAGGCGGCUUGCUGGACAGAGACUGACGUUGAGGCUCGAAAGCGUGGGGAGCAAACAGG
rnacentral:rRNA from 1 species